rnacentral:tRNA from 1 species
CCAACCAUAGCUCAAUGAGCGUGGAGUACUGUAGAUCCUUAGGUAACUGGUUCGAAUCCGGUUGGUUGGA